GCAAAACGCGAAGAACCUUACCAGGUCUUGACAUCCCGCUGACCGCUCUAGAGAUAGAGUUUUCCCUUCGGGGACAGCGGUGACAGGUGGUGCAUGGUUGUCGUCAGCUCGUGUCGUGAGAUGUUGGGUUAAGUCCCGCAACGAGCGCAACCCUUGAUCUUAGUUGCCAGCAUUCAGUUGGGCACUCUAAGGUGACUGCCGGUGAUAAACCGGAGGAAGGUGGGGAUGACGUCAAAUCAUCAUGCCCCUUAUGACCUGGGCUACACACGUGCUACAGUGGACGGUACAGAGGGUCGCAACCCCGCGAGGGUGAGCAAAUCCCAUAAAACCGUUCUCAGUUCGGAUUGUAGGCUGCAACUCGCCUACAUGAAGCCGGAAUCGCUAGUAAUCGUGGAUCAGCAUGCCACGGUGAAUACGUUCCCGGGUCUUGUACACACCG
rnacentral:rRNA from 1 species